rnacentral:rRNA from 1 species
AUUGAACGCUGGCGGCAGGCCUAACACAUGCAAGUCGAGCGAGCGGCGGACGGGUGAGUAAUGUAUGGGGACUGCCCGAUAGAGGGGGAUAACUACUGGAAACGGUAGCUAAUACCGCAUACUAUCGGAUAACCCAUAUGGGAUUAGCUAGUAGGUGAGGUAAUGGCUCACCUAGGCGACGAUCCCUAGCUGGUCUGAGAGGAUGAUCAGAAAGACUGGGACUGGGACAAGGACAAGACUCCGACGGAGGCAGCAGUGGGGAAGAGUGCACAAGGGGCGCAAGCCUGAUGCAGCCAUGCCGCGUGGAUGAAGAAGGCCCUAGGGUGGUAAAGUACUUUCAGUCGGGAGGCGUUACCGACAGAAGAAGCACCGGCUAACUCCGUGCCAGCAGCCGCGGUAAUUC